CCUCAGUAUUGUCAAAGCAUUUUUUUGUGUGUAAUAAAUUUGCAUAAACAUUUCACCCCAAAUAUAAUGAAACAUAGGAUAAGAAAGACCUAAAUUAUAUUAAAAAAAAUACUAAAAGACUUCUUGAUUGAUUUGCAGAGGCAUAGCAAAAUUCCUUCAUAUAGUGGCCUCAUGAAUGAGAUGAUAAUAUGCAAGUAAAGCAUAAUGAUUGGCAUAUUAAAUGCAAGAUCUUUGUCACCAUCUGCUUCCCGAUUGUGUCAGCAAGUUGGGAUUUUUUUCAUGGAAGUGUGAGAAUACACCAUGGCCUCGAAGUAUCAAAAUGUCAAUUAUACAUCACAUUUUAAAGUUGGAAGCCUAAAUCACAAUUGUCCCUGAAUUCUGCUUGAAACACUGACAAAUUAUUACCUAUCCGUCACAUUUAGCCUUACUGUACAGUAGCACAGUUAUUGUGCUGGAAAAUAAAACAGAGCAGGAACACUAUCAAGGCCAGGUUUACAAUUUUGUGAUGAAUACUUAAAAAAAAAUUAUUCAGAAGGAGACAGGGAGAGAAAUAAGAAUUCAAAACAAAUUGAAUAGUUGUGGAACAGCCCUAUCAAAUACUUGUUAUUUCAAGCUCAAGUACUUAGAAAACAGUUCUGUAUUUCUGGUAUUUUUCAUUGCAAAUAAUCCUCAUUCACAAGGAAGACAGUAUUCCUUUUUCUGUAUUUUCACUUGCACUGACAGAAGAAAAUUGUAUCCUGGUUAGUGCAAUGAAUCAGCAUGAAGUUCAGAAGGAGAAAACCAAUGUGAAACCUGACCAAAAUGAAGGAACUCUUCCACUAAUACCACAGGUCCUGCUUUACACCCUCAGUGGCCUUAUAUCAAAGUUGGUGGGAGAUGUUUUAAUGUCCCACGUAGGAUGACAUACAAACACCAUUAGCUGCCAGAACAAGCAACCAAGAGGUGAAAGCACACAAAAAGGCUGCUAAUUGUGAUUCUGAAAUAUAAAUACAAGACUCUUCCAAAACUGAAAAGUCCACUAAUAUCUCAAGGCAUUAUUUCUGCUAGGGGGAGGAAACAGAAGUAGGUAUUGUGUAAAGUGAUUCUUCAUUUACUGAGGACAAUGGUAACAUCACCAAAAAAUGCAAUAGCCUUUUGAUUUGCUUCUAGACCAAUUACUAUAACUGUGGAAAGGAGAUUUCUAGAUUUUAAAAAAGUGGGAUAAAGAACAUAAUCAUGUUCAGAAACCUAACAUGAACUAAUUUGGAAGAAGACUGUAAAGAGGUUAAAUGAAAAAAGUGACCUUCCAAACUUGUACUUUAAUGGACUUUUCAUAAAGCAUUUCUUCUAUCUAAUAAUUUCUGAUUAUAGUAGUAUUUAUACAUUAUAAGAUACACAAUCCACUAUUUAAACAGACUGCUUAUACAAUAUUUGCCAAUGAAUAAUAAAUUUUUGCUGUAAUAAGAUAGCAAAUUUAAAGAUGCAAAAUUUAUUGCAAAUGGGACUGAUUCCAAAAUUAGGAGAUUGUAAGUAGCAUGAUUUAUAUUACAUGUUUGGGGUCAAUCUCUGUGCCUGUGAAACAGGGUUUUUAAUACUUAAUAAAUAUAAAAUACAUUGAUUCUAAUUAAGAAUUAAUUUUUAGUACGGCUUUGUAUUUUAAGCAUGUGUGUACAUACAUGUUAAAUCAAAGUGUUUGGGAAAUUUCAGUCUGGGGCUUCUGAUUUAAGCAGUUGUCCAUGAGCAGUUGUGUAUAGGCAUGUCUUCACUACUAAAAAAAAUUCUUUUUCCUUCUUCAAAAGAUCAUGUAAAUGAUCUGUGAAGCAGAGGUUUAUAUAUUUCUGGUGGAGCAGCAUGUUCUGCCAGGUAGUUAGCAGUCUCUCCAUUCAUCAGCAAAUGGUGAAUCAUAAGCUGUUGGAAAGCAGAAAAGAAUAAAAAAA
rnacentral:lncRNA from 1 species